GACGAACGCUGGCGGCGUGCUUAACACAUGCAAGUCGAACGGUAAGGCCCUUUCGGGGGUACACGAGUGGCGCACGGGUGAGUAACACGUGGGUGAUCUGCCCUGCACUUUGGGAUAAGCCUGGGAAACUGGGUCUAAUACCGGAUAGGACUACGCGAUGCAUGUCGUGUGGUGGAAAGCUUUUGCGGUGUGGGAUGGGCCCGCGGCCUAUCAGCUUGUUGGUGGGGUGAUGGCCUACCAAGGCGACGACGGGUAGCCGGCCUGAGAGGGUGGCCGGCCACACUGGGACUGAGGUACGGCCCAGACUCCUACGGGAGGCAGCAGUGGGGAAUAUUGCCCAAUGGGCGCAAGCCUGAUGCAGCGACGCCGCGUGGGGGAUGACGGCCUUCGGGUUGUAAACCCCUUUCAGCACAGACGAAGCGUAAGUGACGGUAUGUGCAGAAGAAGCACCGGCCAACUACGUG
rnacentral:rRNA from 1 species